UUCUUUUUGCUAGUUCAAUAAUAGGACCAAGGAAAGAGGCUUUAAUUAGAUUAAACUGUUCCUCCCCUAGUGCGAGCUCAACUUUUUUGACCAAAUGCGUUUCGAAAUGUUGAAUAACAACAGCUCCAAUGUUUGGUUCAAACCCGGGAUUAUAUAUACGGGGCGGUAGGUUAAGCACAUCCAAUGAGUCAUUGUUAGACAUCUGCGUAAAAACCAAGCAUAAAAACCAUAUCAAGAAUGUAAAACAUUUAAAACGGUUGUAAAAUACAGAAAAGGAAUAAUUCAGCAUUUAAAACCUUUUUAAAACGGUUGUAAAUUACAGCAAAUGAAUAAUUCAGCAUUAAUAACGAACCUUUAAAAAAUGUUGUAAACUCCACAGUUAACGAUUAUAAAAUCAAGAAAUGGAAUAAAUCAGAGAGGAUAUACCCUAAAUCAAGCAUUAAGAAGCAUUUACAAGUUAAGAACGAACCUUUAAAAAUGUUGUAAAAUCUACAGUUCAAAAUCAAGCAGUCAAAUCAAGCGUUAUCAGUCAAUAUUCAAUAAUGAGAUAAAAAAAGCUUCAAGAAGACCAAACUUUCACAGAAACACAGAAUCUAAACCACAGAAUCAAACCACAGAAUCUAACUUCCAAAAGACAAACCUUUCAAAAAAGCUUCUAAAAUAUAGUGAGGAAUCUAACCUGGAAUCGAUGUAGGACAGAUCGAAAUAAAACACAGACGGAGACGGAGACGCUGAGAAAUCAAAAUCGAACAAAAAGAUGUUAACGCCGAUCGAAAUCGAACAGAUCAAAUCGAAAACGAACAACGAGAUUUUACCACCGAUAGAAAGCGAAAUCG
rnacentral:lncRNA from 1 species